UAAUAUAAAUAGUCUACAUCUAAGAAGCCAAGUCAGUUCUGUUCAAGACAAGUUCACCGCAAAAAAUGUUACGCUUUUCUAUGCCAAGCAAUGAAAAUGAGAAUAGUAAAAACAUCUCCGACGUUUUAGAGGAGCUAAAAAAAACGACGGAAACUCUGCAACAGGAGAAUGCAGUUGUUCGUGGACAGUUCCCAAUCAAAUCUGAGGAGCACUUAAUAGAAUUGGAGGACAAAAUAAAAUUAAAUAAGAGCAUUUAUGUAAUCUAAACUCUAAAUUAUAUGACAUUUUUC